rnacentral:rRNA from 1 species
GUCGAGAAUCUUUCACAAUGGGGGCAACCCUGAUGGAGCGACGCCGCGUGGAGGAUAAGGUCUUCGGAUUGUAAACUCCUGUCAUGCGUGAACAAGGUUGCUUGGUUAAUACCUGGGCAAAUUGAUGGUAACGCAAGAGGAAGAGACGGCUAACUCUGUGCCAGCAGCCGCGGUAAUACAGAGGUCUCAAGCGUUGUUCGGAAUCACUGGGCGUAAAGGGUGCGUAGGUGGCGUGGUAAGUCAGAUGUGAAAGCCCGGGGCUCAACCUCGGAACUGCAUCCGAUACUGCCAUGCUAGAGUACGGGAGAGGUGACUAGAAUUCUCGGUGUAGCAGUGAAAUGCGUAGAUAUCGAGAGGAAUACCAAAGGCGUAGGCAGGUCACUGGACAGUUACUGACACUGAGGCACGAAGGCCAGGGGAGCGAACGGGAUUAGAAACCCGGGUAGUCC